rnacentral:rRNA from 1 species
UACGUAGGUGGCAAGCGUUGUCCGGAUUUACUGGGCGUAAAGGAUGCGUAGGUGGAUAUUUAAGUCAGAUGUGAAAUACCCGAGCUUAACUUGGGAACUGCAUUUGAAACUGAAUAUCUAGAGUGCAGGAGAGGUAAGUGGAAUUCCUAGUGUAGCGGUGAAAUGCGUAGAGAUUAGGAAGAACACCAGUGGCGAAGGCGACUUACUGGACUGUAACUGACACUGAGGCAUGAAAGCGUGGGGAGCAAACAGG